UACGUAGGGACCAAGCGUUGUUCGGAUUUACUGGGCGUAAAGGGCGUGCAGGCGGUUUGUUAAGUGCAGGGUGAAAGCUCCCGGCUCAACUGGGAGAGGUCCUUGCAUACUGGCAAACUCGAGGGAGGCAGAGGAAAGUGGAAUUCCCGGUGUAGUGGUGAUAUGCGUAGAUAUCGGGAGGAACACCUGUGGCGAAGGCGGCUUUCUGGGCCUUACCUGACGCUGAGACGCGAAAGCGUGGGGAGCGAACCGG
rnacentral:rRNA from 1 species